rnacentral:lncRNA from 1 species
GCGGUGACCGGUAACUCAUAUUUAAUGAAUGACAUGCUUAUUUCUUUACUCUAUCACGUUUUACAAAAUGUGUAAUAUUGAUAAUGCGGUGGGUGGGGUAGUGCCGAUAUCAAGAUUUUCGUUUCGAACCGAUUGAGUUAUCAAAAUUUCCGGAGCCCUGGUUGACUCAUAUACAUAAUGGAGAAGAAAUGCCAAUCUAGAUGAUUAGGUAUUAUGGGAAACAUGUGCUUUUCUCAAAAGCAGCUCUAGUUUUUCAUACAGAUUUCAAUACCUAUCUCAAAUAAUCUGGUUAGAAUUACACCAAAUUUGGUCAGUAGUGUCCUGGCAUGGAUCUUUAUCAAGUUUGUUCAAAUGGUUUAGCUUGGCCCCUUUUAUUUAGUAGAAACUUUUAACUGUUCCAGCAAGCAACUAAACUCAAGUGAGCAAUAUAGGGCCAUCAUUACCCUCUUGUUUAAUUUGGUUUUGAUUAUAAUAAUAAGUUUGGUUUUCGUGCCAUGAUGUAUUUCGUAAAAUCACAGUAAUGGAAAGUGAAAAAAACAAGUUCUGAACUAUACAAACAAACAAAUCUUCCAAAAUUCUGUCGACAUAAAUUUGGAAUGUGAAAAAAUUUAGAAGGAAAUAUCUGUAGUGGUAAAACUAAAUCAGGUUUUAUGGAAUGUUUUUUUUUCUUUCCAUCUGGUGUUUACUGGAAGAAGAUUGAAACUAUUGGUUUUAUUGAUGAGGGAGAAUGCCAUGCAUUUUAGAAGUGAAAGUCAGACAUAAAUUUCUCAACCAUCUGUUUAAAUGUUCAGCACUCCAGAAGAAAAAAAAAUUGGCAAUCUUUUGGAAAACUGUAAUCUUCUAGAUGCACAAGUAAUGAUGCUCAUGAAGUUAUUUAUUGCAAGAGGGACUAUCUUUGAAAUUCAGGAGAGUGAGAAAUUAAUUUUCUCUCUUUGUUGGCCAGGAAAGUAAAAUGUUUGUAUAUACAGUGAGUGUAAUUGAAAUUGGCCAUGAAUUUAAGUCUUCAUUAAUAGGAGCUCUAUGGCCAAGUGGUUGAGGUCUUCAAAUGACUUGCCCAUCACUUCUUUGGGUUAAGGUUGGUCAUUAGAAGGAGCCAUUGAGCUGGCCCACAGAAGGUUGGUGGUUACACACUUUUGGUCUUCCUUAAGCAUUUAACCUGGAAGUUAAGCCAACACAAGACCUUAAUUAAACUGGAAGUUUUUUUACGAAACAACUGUCCCUGCAUGACAUUUAAUUAUGAAUGUUCAGGUUGCUUAACAUACACAGUUUAAGCUCGCUUGCGGUGAGCUUGAUAUAGUCGUCACUUUUGGCGGUUCAGUUUAUGUGCGUGCGUCUGUCCGAUUUUGUCCAGACCAUAACUUUGACAUGCAUGGACCAAUCUUGUUUAUAUUUUGCAUGAAUAUUUACCUCAAUGAGAAGGAGCUGAAAAGGGAUUUUUUUUUACAUUUAUAUUAAUAAUAAAAAAAUGAUAUUUUAUUGAAAGGUGGGCAUCGGAUAUCUUUAAAGUAAUGAAGUCUCAAUAUCACUUGAACACAACAUGAGCACAACUUUUUUCACUCAGUGUAGACCAUAACUCAUUUUCAUUCCUUAGCAUAAUUGCGAAAAAAUUUGGCUAUUUUAGGACUAUCUUUGAUUGCCUUUUGUCAUUUACCAAGAAAAGGCCAACAGUUAUCAAAGAGACCAGUUUCUUGAUAUUGAUUAUGUCAGUUUCAAUUAAAGUGACUGACAGAGGCUUAUGGAACACAUUCCUAUAGCAGGCUAUUUAUUUCUCCUUGUCACCUAGGCCUUUGAUUGACAAGCCAAUUUAUUAGAAUUCAAUAUCACAAAGGCUGUCCUUAUAGGCCAUGUCUAAAGAUGUUAAAUAAAUAUACAACCCAAGUGUGUUCCAAUAAGUUCUGUUAUCAGAAAGCAUUUGAUUUCAUUUCUGGUUAACGUUACACCCUGUUAAUAGGACCUGCAAAUAAGGACCACAGUUUUGCUCUCCCAUUUAGCAGGACUCUUUUGUGACUCCCAAAAAUGAUCUCAGUUGUACACAGUUUUGAUUGGAUAUAUCAGGUACCUGCAUGACAUUUUUUUCCUGGUCAUCUACUAGCUGUUUCCAUUACAGUGGACUUUGGUUAGCUGUCAUUUUAAAUAGUAACUUAUUUUUUUACUGUAUUCUCUGACUUCAGUUUGACAGGUGUGGUAACAUUGUUACUUUGUAUUCUCUGACUUCAGUUUGACAGGUGUGGUAACAUUGUUACUUUGUAUUCUCUGACUUCAGUUUGACAGGUGAUGGUAACAUUGUCUGACUUCAGUUUGACAGGUGAUGGUAACAUUGUUACUUUGUAUUCUCUGACUUCAGUUUGACAGGUGUGGUAACAUUGUUACUUUGUAUUCUCUGACUUCAGUUUGACAGGUAUGGUAACAUUGUUACUUUGUAUUCUCUGACUUCAGUUUGACAGGUGUGGUAACAUUGUCUGACUUCAGUUUGACAGGUGAUGGUAACAUUGUUACUUUGUAUUCUCUGACUUCAGUUUGACAGGUGUGGUAACAUUGUUACUUUGUAUUCUCUGACUUCAGUUUGACAGGUGUGGUAACAUUGUUACUUUGUAUUCUCUGACUUCAGUUUGACAGGUGUGGUAACAUUGUUACUUUGUAUUCUCUGACUUCAGUUUGACAGGUGUGGUAACAUUGUCUGACUUCAGUUUGACAGGUGUGGUAACAUUUACUUUGUAUCUCUGACUUCAGUUUGACAGGUGUGGUAACAUUGUUACUUUGUAUUCUCUGACUUCAGUUUGACAGGUGUGGUAACAUUGUUACUUUGUAUUCUCUGACUUCAGUUUGACAGGUGUGGUAACACUGUUACUUUGUAUUCUCUGACCUCAGUUUGACAGGUGAUGGUAACAUUGUUACUUUGUAUUCUCUGACUUUAGUUUGACAGGUGUGGUAACAUUUACUUUGUAUCUCUGACCUCAGUUUGACAGGUGAUGGUAACAUUGUUACUUUGUAUUCUCUGACUUCAGUUUGACAGGUGUGGUAACAUUUACUUUGUAUCUCUGACUUCAGUUUGACAGGUGUGGUAACAUUGUCUGACUUCAGUUUGACAGGUGUGGUAACAUUGUUACUUUGUAUUCUCUGACUUCAGUUUGACAGGUGUGGUAACAUUGUUACUUUGUAUCUCUGACUUCAGUUUGACAGGUGUGGUAACACUGUUACUUUGUAUUCUCUGACCUCAGUUUGACAGGUGAUGGUAACAUUGUUACUUUGUAUUCUCGGACUUCAGUUUGACAGGUGUGGUAACAUUUACUUUGUAUCUCUGACUUCAGUUUGACAGGUGUGGUAACACUUACUUUGUAUCUCUGACUUCAGUUUGACAGGCGUGGUAACACUGUUACUUUGUAUUCUCUGACUUCAGUUUGACAGGCGUGGUAACACUGUUACUUUGUAUUCUCUGACUUCAGUUUGACAGGUGUGGUAACAUUGUUACUUUGUAUUCUCUGACUUCAGUUUGACAGGUGUGAACUUAUUGUUAAUAAUAUAUUAUGUACCAAUCUCAUUUUGCCAGUUGUUGUUUUUUUUAUCCCUUAUGUUUAGCUUCAAUAUAUUUUCAAUGCAGUGUUUAUGGUUUAAUUCUAUUGCAGAAGAAUAAUGUUCUAAGAUAAUGAGUCUAAUUUAAGAGUUUUGUUUCCAUGGCAUUUUCUUUAAUUUAUGAAAUAUGCAUUCUCAGUUUACAGAUAAGACUGUUGCCAUGGCAUUUUGUCAGCAACCUCAGACUGCAAAACCUGUCCUUUCAGAAUCAAACUUGUGGCUUAAUUUGCUGUAAGAUGUUGUCAUCUUGUCCUAAUCAGCUUGAUCAUGUCAAAGGAAGAGAGAAACUGAAGAUGAAAUUUCAAAAUCUGUGUCUUAAAUCUAAAUUUCUUGUCAGUGUUUAAAGGGAUAAUUUCUUUGAAUAUUUGUAACAGUAAUCAGAAUUGCCAAUUUCUACAUGUUUUGAAAACUGUGCUUUUUGUUAUACGCCUGAAAGGAGGUACAUAUUAUGUUAUGAUGCCAGUGUCCGUCUGUCCAUCCAUCCAUAUGUCUGUCCGUUAGCAAUUUCGUGUCUGCUCUGUAAGUCUGGAACUUGUGGAAGGAUAUUAAAGAAACUUGGCACAAAUGUUCACCACAUUUAGUCGUCUUGCAGAGAUAUGUUUCCGAUGACUCACUUAAAGGUAAAGGUCCCACUUACGGGUCGAAGGUCAUACCUUCGGGCGUUUAAUGCUCCGCAUUGCAGUGCUCUUGUUAGAAUUGUUAAUACUUUGUUGUCAUUUAUUGAAAUAUCUAAAACUGUUGUCAUAUUAAGCUUUCUUUACUUUAAUCAUUGACUGAACCAGCAGUGUUGCCACCAACCUUAAAAAAUCAGGGAGAUUUGAUUUUUUCAAGGUCAUUGUCAGUUGCCAGGAAAUUUAAAAUUUCGAUCUAGUUGGCUUGCUUUCCCUUCAGAAGAAUCUUAGCCUAGAACAUUAGUUGCAAAGUAAAGACUAAUAUCAUGUGAUAUGAUAGUUGUGUGCUGUUAGAAUUUGUGUUUGCACUUAAGAGGGUAUAAAUGUCACAGUACAGGGAUCAGUAGGGCUACAAGGCCAAAUUGGUCUACGAAAAAAUGUGAUUUGGUCAGGAAAUUUUAUUAAUUUUUACUUGUUGUUGGCAAUGCUUAGCUGAAGUGUAUGAAAUGAAAAGGAAUGUUUAUCAAAUUUUGCAUACUUUAGCUUUUUUGUUGGAAAGAGAACCGUUUGUUAAAGUCUUCUAAAUUUUAAUCUUUUUAGAAAUAUCCUUAAUUUGUCUUUGAAAACUGAAAUUUGGGAAUGUUCAAGUUGUUUUAGUACAAGAUUACAUAAAUUGUAUUUUCUUUAGUAUCAUUUUCUUCAUGGAAAUUUGAAAGUGAAGUUCAAAUUGUAGCAAAAAAUGAAACAAAUGUUUUAAAGUCAUAAUUCUUUAUGCUAUAAAAUCAAAUUAGGCAACAACCAAAACAUGGAAUAUGCAUAAUUAAAUGGUUAGAAAAUGACUGCUGUUUUAAAUGUUGCAUAUUUAUUUAAACAGCCAGACCCCUUAAAGGGAGAUAAUCAAGAACAGCAGAUUCAGUCAUCAAAAUACUAGAACCUAAAACAGAUAUCUGAGAUAAGAAUAUAUAAUAGCUGAAAAUAAAUAAAAAGAAACUAAAAUAUUUUAUGUUCAUAACAAAAAAAUGAGGCAACCACAUUAUAAACAAAGCCAUUAUGAUGCCCCUCUAACUCUUCUUAUCUGCGAAAAUUUGCUAAGGGAAAGUUUUUUGUAUGGAUAAUUAUUUAAUAUUCACUGUCUCCGAGUUACCCUAAAAUUAAAAUAUACAUUUCUACAGAUUUUUGGUAAUUUGAAAUUUUACUAAACUUACAUUCGCUUAAAAAGUAAGUGCGCCUGUUAUAAGGAGAAAGACGAUACAAUCAAAGGAUAUUACUACAGUAUUUUUUUACUAUGUUUUCUCCUGAUAUUUCCGCAAACAAUUUCAUUUAAAUAUGCAACUGGGAAAAGUUUUGGUAUUUAUUUUCCCCGAUAAACCCAAAAAGUGAAACAGGCAUAGCUUGAAGAUUCGAUUAAAUUACCGAAAAAAAAAAAUCAAAAACUGAUUCUAAUCUUCUUAAUGGAUUUUAAGAAUUUUCUGUACUUUCUUUCGAUUUGAUGGAAGAGAAAUAUUACAAAAUUUAAUUAACUUCUUUUA